rnacentral:rRNA from 1 species
AAUAGAUACCCGGGUAGUCCACGCCGUAAACGAUGGAUGCUAGCUGUUAUGAGUAUCGACCCUUGUAGUAGCGAAGCUAACGCGUUAAGCAUCCCGCCUGUGGAGUACGAGCGCAAGCUUAAAACAUAAAGGAAUUGACGGGGACCCGCACAAGCGGUGGAGCGUGUUGUUUAAUUCGAUGAUAAGCGAAGAACCUUACCAAGGCUUGACAUCCCUGGAAUUUCUCCGAAAGGAGAGAGUGCCUUCGGGAACCAGGUGACAGGUGAUGCAUGGCCGUCGUCAGCUCGUGUCGUGAGAUGUUUGGUUAAGUCCAUCAACGAGCGCAACCCUUGUAAAUAGUUGAAUUUUUCUAUUUAGACUGCCUCGGUAACGGGGAGGAAGGAGGGGAUGAUGGUCAGGUCAGUAUUUCCCUUACGCCUUGGGCUACAAACACGCUACAAUGGCCGGUACAAAGGGCAGCCAACCCGCGAGGGGGAGCAAAUCCCAUCAAAACCGGUCUCAGUUCGGAUAGCAGGCUGAAAUUCGCCUGCUUGAAGCCGGAAUCGCU